AUGUACCCACGUACAUUCCGGUUCCUCCGCGCGGUCCGCACCCACCUGACGACUGCUCGCUACGUUUUGUUAGCC
rnacentral:sRNA from 4 species